GUGAAAUUUCAUAUAAGGAGAUAUAUUGUACACACGACCUUUCAGAACAGUCCACAUGGAGCCCUCAGUCCGAUGUUCUUUAACUUCACUCAUAGGGAUAAGCCUUUUAUUUGACUGGCCUUUCAAUCCUGCAAGAUCAGGAUGGGUUCGAGUAAGCCUAAGCCAAUCCAUUUGACUAUAGCCCUUCUCAAAAGGAACCUUUGUUCGAG
rnacentral:misc_RNA from 1 species